rnacentral:misc_RNA from 1 species
AGACGCUGAGACGGGUAACAGCAUGAAAGGGAUAAAACAUCUUUCAUGGAUGAAAGCACUUGAGGCCUGCCAUGAUGGGAUUGAGGAGGUUGCAUCCUCGUCGCCCUCCAAUGGUGAAUCUUAUAAGUGAGCAUCGUGAAUCGCUAUCGGUCUCCUUGACAAUGAAGAGCUGCGACAGUGAGAAAGAAGAAAGGACCAGAUUCAUGGAUGAGC